rnacentral:rRNA from 1 species
AACGAACGCUGGCGGCAGGCUUAACACAUGCAAGUCGAACGGACGUAGCAAUACGUUAGUGGCAGACGGGUGAGUAACGCGUGGGAAUAUGCCCUUUAGUUCGGAAUAACUCAGGGAAACUUGAGCUAAUACCGGAUAAUCCCGAGAGGGGAAAGAUUUAUCGCUGAAGGAGUAGCCCGCGUCUGAUUAGCUAGUUGGUGAGGUAAUGGCUCACCAAGGCGACGAUCAGUAGCUGGUCUGAGAGGAUGAUCAGCCACACUGGGACUGAGACACGGCCCAGACUCCUACGGGAGGCAGCAGUGGGGAAUAUUGGACAAUGGGCGAAAGCCUGAUCCAGCAAUGCCGCGUGAGUGAUGAAGGCCCUAGGGUUGUAAAGCUCUUUUACCCGGGAUGAUAAUGACAGUACCGGGAGAAUAAGCCCCGGCUAACUCCGUGCCAGCCGCCGCGGUAA